rnacentral:sRNA from 1 species
AUGUGAUCCACAGUGAAUUUAACGGAAGGAGGCUGGAAAAGUUGGGGAACCGGGCCUCUCUUACCACGUGUUGGUCAUCGUGAGGUUUGCUUUUCACUCUAUACCCAUUUCUGCUUUUCUUUUGUUCCGUUUCCAACUUCUUCUUGGCUUUUUCUUUCCGUUCGCUUCUCUCUCUCCAGUCUCUCACCUUCUGCUUAUUUUCGAAGCUAGCUUUUUAUCUCUUCCGCGCCACUGUUGUUCCAGAAACGCUCAUGUCCCAAUUUUGGGGCUUUCAUGUGCAACUUUGCAAGCCCUUUGUGUUCAAGGAAACGGUGGUCUUUGUUUUUUGGAAAUUUUGUAUAUGCGUUUGCAAACCAUUUGUGCUGUAGAGUCACUCACCAAGACUUUGCAGGGCACAAGGGUUGAUUUGGACCUGGGCAACUAUGAACGCUUCCUAGAUGUGACUCUUACUAGGGAUAACAACAUUACCACUGGCAAGAUAUAUCAGGCGCUUCUAACUCGAUUUUGACUUCCUUUGUGGGAGGGAGACACCAUCAGUUGCUGGAAUCAUUAACCCCGGUUUUGAGGGAUUUCAAAAGCUAUUUUUCGGUCAAGAGGAAAUCGCCAUACCAGUGCACUCAAACAUUGAAGCAUCAUGUGCCGCACAUCCUACUGCUGAUGUCUUAAUCAACUUUGCUUCAUACAGAACUGCUGCCACUUCUUCCAUGGCUGCUCUCAAGCAACCAACCAUUAGAGUUGUGGCAAUCAUUGCUGAAGGUGUACCUGAGUUAGACACUAAGCAAUUGAUCGUAUAUGCUCGGGCAAACAACAAGGUUGUCAUUGGCCCAGCUACUGUUGGAGGAAUUCAAGCUGGAGCUUUUAAGAUUGGUGACACUGCUGGAAC